rnacentral:rRNA from 1 species
CCUACGGGAGGCAGCAGUGGGGGAUAUUGCACAAUGGGGGGAACCCUGACGCAGCGACGCCGCGUGGGUGAAGGAGCGUUUCGGCGCGUAAAGCCCUAUCGGCAGGGAAGAAGGAGGACGGUACCUGACUAAGAAGCGCCGGCUAACUACGUGCCAGAAGCCGCGGUAAUACGUAGGGGGCAAGCGUUAUCCGGAUUUACGGGGGGUAAAGGGGGGGCAGACGGCAUCGCAAGCCAGGAGUGAAAGCCCGGGGCCCAACCCCGGGACUGCUUUUGGAACUGCGCGGCUGGAGUGCAGGAGGGGCAGGCGGAAUUCCUGGUGUAGCGGUGAAAUGCGUAGAUAUCAGGAGGAACACCGGUGGUGAAGGCGGCCUGCUGGACUGCGACUGACGUUGAUGCUCGAAAGUGUGGGUAUCAAACAGGAUUAGAUACCCCAGUAGUC